AACGUAGGGGACAAGCGUUAUCCGGAUUUACUGGGCGUAAAGCGCCCGUAGGCGGCUUAACAAGUUGGAUGUGAAAGCUCCCGGCUUAACUGGGAGAGGUCAUUCAAAACUGUUAGGCUAGAGGAUGGAAGAGGAGAGCGGAAUUCCCGGUGUAGUGGUGGAAUGCGUAGAUAUCAAGCGGAACACCGGUGGCGAAGGCGAGUCCCUGGACAACACCUGACACUGAGGCACGAAAGCUAGGGGAGCAAACAGG
rnacentral:rRNA from 1 species